rnacentral:lncRNA from 1 species
CCCCUUUAACGUCCCCCAUGCCACUUUGUAGUUAGCCCUGCCCCUCCUCCCAGCCCCUCUUAGCCACUGAUCUGUAUGUUGUUCUUACAGUUUUGAAAAGGACAUGUAAUUUAAACAGCGUGUGACCCAUAUUUCUCCCUUCCUAGUAGUGGCUCACAGCUCAGACUACUAAUUUAUAAACUCUUGAAUGACUAACCUGUACUCGUAGGCGCUUGCCUGUCAAGGAAGCAGUUCAGACCCAGAUUUAAGGGUAGCUUUUAUUCCAAUUUUACAAAUUUUUCCUACUGCCAUUGUUUAAAUAGUUUUGUGGAUUAUAAUCUUACUUUUGAAGAAAAUUGCUAAAUAUUUGAAAAUGCUAAAACAGAACUGAUUUGAAUUUCCAUGUAUUUUAAUUGAGGCUUUUACAUUGGUUUUUUUCCAGCUUUCCAAAUUUCAUCACAUUCCUGUCUCCUAUUAAUCACCACUAAUUAUGUAGCACUCAGAGGCCCUUUCCCUUCAGCAGGAAAGAAGGUUAAAUGAAUAACUAGAACAAUCCUGUUCCCUUGGGGGAUUAACUGUAUUUUAAGUGGAAUAGGUUAAAGUAUUAUAUAAAGUUAAAUGAACUUUUAUCAUUACUUUAAUCUUGAUAGAACUGGUUUGUAAAAAUUGUACCAUAGAAUCAUUUAAGCUUUAGUGAGGGAAACUAUUAAAAAGACUCAUGUUCACAUCUCAGAAAUAAAGUUCAUGUAUACUGGGCAUAAGUACCUAUUCUGUGUUUCAUUCCCACAUGCAUCUUGAAGAAAUAUUUUACAGCUUACUCAUUCCUGUACACUAAUAACAGACAGAGAGCCAAAUCAUGAGUGAACUCCCAUUCAUAUUGCUACAAAGAGAAUAAAAUACCUAGGAAUCCAACUUACAAGGGAUAUGAGGGACCUCUUCAAGGAGAACUACAAACCACUGCUCAACAAAAUAAGAGAGAGACACAAACAAAUGGAAGAACAUUCCGUGCUUAUGGAUAGGAAGAAUCAAUAUCGUGAAAAUGGCCAUACUGCCCAAGAUAAUUUAUAGAUUCAAUGCCAUCCCCAUCAAGCUACCAAUGACUUUCUUCACAGAAUUGGAAAAAACUACUUUAAAGUUCAUAUAGAACCAAAAAAGAGCCCGCAUUCCCAAGACAAUCCUAAGCAAAAAGAACAAAACUGGAGGCAUUGUACUACCUGACUUCAAACUAUACUACAAGGCUACAGUAACCAAAACAGCAUGGUACUGGUACCAAAACAGAUAUAUUGACCAAUGGAACAGAACAGAGGCCUCAGAAAUAACACCACACAUCUAUAACCAUCUGAUCUUUGACAAACCUGACAAAAACAAGAAAUGGGGAAAGGAUUCCCUAUUUAAUACAUGGUACUGGGAAAACUGGCUAGCCAUAUGUAGAAAGCUGAAACUGGAUCCCUUUCUUUAUACAAAAAUUAAUUCGAGAUGGAUUAAAGACUUAAAAUGUUAGACCUAACGCUAUAAAAACCCUAGAAGAAAAUCUAGGCAAUACUAUUCAGGACAUAGGCAUGGUCAAGGACUUCAUGACUAAAACACCAAAAGCAAUGGCAACAAAAGCCAGAAUAGACAAAUGGGAUCUAAUUAAACUAAAGAGCUUCUGCAUGGCAGAAGAAGCUACCCUCAGAGUGAACAGGAAACCUACAGAAUGGGAGAAAAUUUUUGCAAUCUACCCAUCUGACAAAGGGCUAAUAUCCAGAAUCUACAAAGAACUCAAACAAAUUUACAAGAAAAAAACAACCCCAUCAAAAAGUGGGCAAAGGAUAUGAACAGACACUUCUCAAAAGAAGACAUUUAUGCAGCCAACAGACACAUUAGAAAAUGCUCAUCAUCACUGGUCAUCAGAGAAAUGCAAAUCAAAACCACAAUGAGAUACCAUCUCAUACCAGUUAGAAUGGCAGUUGUUAAAAAUUCAGGAAACAACAGAUGCUGGAGAUGAUGUGGAGAAAUAGGAACGCUUUUACACUGUUUUUGGAAGUGUAAAUUAGUUCAACCAUUAUGGAAGACAGUGUGGCGAUUCAAGGAUCGAGAACUAGAAAUACCAUUUGACCUAGUGAUCCCAUUACUGGGUAUAUACCUAAAGGAUUAUAAAUCAUGCUACUAUAAAGACACAUGCACACAUAUGUUUACUGUGGCACUAUUCACAAUAGCAGGCUUGGAACCAACCCAAAUGUCCAUCGAUGAUAGACUGGAUUAAGAAAACGUGGCACAUACACACCAUGGAAUACUAUGCAGCCAUAAAAAAGGAUGAGUUCAUGUCCUUUGCAGGGACAUAGAUGAAGCUGGAAACCAUCAUUUUGAGCAAACUAUUGCAAGGACGGAAAACCAAACACCACAUGUUCUCACUCAUAGGUGGGAAUUGAACAAUGAGAACACUUGGACACAGGGUGG